CCAGCAAAUUUCUUUCCCUUUAUUAGCCUAUCUGCUGAUUCAGCAAAGUGGCUUGACUCACUAAGAGGGCGAGUGAGUGUCAGAGACAGCUGAAGGAGUAAAGAGUUAGAGCUCUCAGUCAUUGUAGGAAGUUGUGCUUGCCUGUGUAUAGCAGUGGUUAGAAUGCUUUGUUGUUUCCAGCAGUGUGAGCUGAAAAAGAUCUUUUUUCCUCUGGAGACUGUGAGCAGUUACAUAUCAUUGCAGCAGCCGGCAAACCUCUUCUAUGGAGACGUAAAAGACAAGAAUUGGUAAAAAUAACGAGACACAGCUGAGCCAGG